rnacentral:rRNA from 1 species
UACGUAGGCAGCGAGCGUUGUUCGGAAUUACUGGGCGUAAAGAGUGUGUAGGCGGUGCUCCCAGUCUGUUGUGAAAUCUCCCGGCUUAACUGGGAGGGUGCAGCGGAAACUAGAGUGCUAGAGGGUGGGAGAGGUAAGCGGAAUUCCUGGUGUAGCGGUGAAAUGCGUAGAUAUCAGGAAGAACACCCGUGGCUAAGGCGGCUCUCUAGUACGGUACUGACGCUGAGACGCGAAAGCGUGGGGAGCGAACAGG